AUUUUUCUGGCGUUCUUUAUGUGCUUGAGGCCUUCUGAUGAUCUGUGACUGGGUGGGAAGAGUAGGCUGGCUGCUUUCUAUCUGAAUUUUCUCCUUAGCAACUUGAUCUGGGACAGCGUGAACAGGCAUUGAUCAGUCUUUACGUGACAUGUGGAAGCUGCAGAGCUGGAUGCUUUCUGCCAUAGGACUCUAUAUGGACUGGCCAUCCGCAUUACACUCUUACUGAGCAUUCAAAAGACUUGUAGUGCUUUGAGCUCCUCUCUUCUCUUCUUCAAUGUGAAGAAAGGUUGAUAAGAGUUUAAAGGACCCCAGGGCAUAUGCUGGGCUGUGGCCUGCUGACUGCUCAUAAAUGUGCCUAUGUUUGCUUGUACAGUGCUACUGCCAUUGUUAAAUUAAAUGUGUUAACCGAAACCAGCCUGGCAUGGCACUCACCCUGGGGGCUGUGGGCUCUCUGGACUUGAGUCAGAUAAUGCAUCCGUCAUAUUAAGGGAUCUUUCUGUAUUUCAUUAAUUUGUCAUGAAGUAAGAGAAGGCUGAAUCUAACAAAUUUGGGCCAAGCAACAGUAAGCAGAAACAGUGACUGAGCUUCCAGCACUUUAACAACUGAGAUUUUUAUAACUAGAAGAAAAAAUGGUCUGAUUCUACCUUCUCAUAUUCCAGAGUGUUUUCAAAUUCUGAAGCAACUCUUGGGCAAGGUAGAAAGUUGUUCUAUUCAGGCGGAGGUUGUAAGGUUUCCUGAGAUCUCUGCUUUCCAUGCUCCCCCCCCCCCAAAAAAUGAUAGAUUCUAUUUCAAGUGAAGGAAAAGCAAAUGAACAUUGCAAUGGUCUGGAUAGAACAAAGUGUGCUAUUGGCAAGGCAUUGCUGUUAUUCUAGGAGAUUCCCAUCAGCUGUGUGAGCAAUUCUGGUCAUGCUGGCAGAGCAGCAGGUAACCAGCUGUCCUUUUGCUUCACCUGGAGCAGUGCUAGGGAGCUCAGAGCUUUACAGCCCCUUGCUGGCAGAGACCCUCUGUCUCACUGGCACAGUAACUUAGGUCUGGCCUGCCAUAUAUUUCAAUCUAGCUGACAUAUGGCUGUAAAAUUAAUCAAUAGCCAAUGACUCUACUGAAGUGAUGCUGAAAUAUGCAAUGUGCCAUUACAGCGCAUCUGAUUUGCUUCUGCCCUUUAGGUAGGGCCAUAGGAACUCACCUUCACUAUCACUGUUUACAUGCAGACCACUGAGUGUGCACCUCUGUGCUGGGCUGGGAGCUGUGGGAAGGCAGCUACAUGCUGACCAAAGAGUAAUGUUGUGGUAGGUUGGGGCAGACUCAAGUCAGCAUUGAGCACAUCUUAAAGUCACGUAUCUGGGGGCUGAAUUCAAGCUUAUUUUUGAAAUUCAGUAUUUACCUUAAGAACUUAAAGUUUUUGCAUAUUAGUCAAAUUCAAAAAAAAAAAAAAAUCCUGGCACUUCUGUUUCAUCCUUCUGCCCACAGGUGAUAGCUGUGGCCACUGAACACCUUUAGUUACCCUGGCUUUAGGAAGUAUUUUCCCCAUUUAAAUCAUUUUCAAAUAAAUGUGGCAUAAUAAAACAGCCAAGUCAUGUCUGUUUUGGUUUUUUCCUUUGGACUUGCUCUUUCAGCAGGCUUUUUAGAGUGUGCAUCAAAAGCACUUGCUUCUGCCUUCUUACUUCGGACUCAUUGUCACCGAAAUUCAAAUGCAAUCUUUGUUUGAUAGGAUACUUAAUACAAAAUAGUAUCAAAAUGAAUCUUUAAACCUCAACCAAGCAGUGAGAACUUGUGAUUGUUGUUUCCCUUUUGAAAAAGGCCUCCAAGAAGAAAAAGUACUGUAAAAGGAGACGUUAAGUCCAAAAGACCCUUUUUUACAGCAUAAAAAUAGCUUUUAAACUCUUUGUUCUCAGCUAAGUAAUACAUGACAUUUGUUUAAGUAACUAAAAGUAUAAAUAAUAAACACUUUGUAAUUCUGAUUC
ensembl:lncRNA